GACGAACUGUUCUAACGUUAUUCGGAAUCACUGGGCUUAAAGGGCGCGUAGGCUGUUUGUUAAGCGGGGUCUGAAAUCCCUCGGCUCAACCGAGGAACUGGGCUUCGAACUGGCAGACUAGAGUGAAGUAGGGGUAAGCGGAACUUGCGGUGGAGCGGUGAAAUGCUUUGAUAUCGCAAGGAACACCGGCGGCGAAGGCGGCUUACUGGGCUUCAACUGACGCUUAAGCGCGAAAGCUAGGGUAGCGAACGGGAUUAGAUACCCUGGUAGUCCCUGAGCGGGCU
rnacentral:rRNA from 1 species